rnacentral:sRNA from 1 species
AGAUCCUAGAUAAAUAAGCUGAAACAAUGUUAUUUGAUUUUAGCAAACUAUGACAUAGUAUAAGCAGAAUCUAGUGGAAGCAAAGAUCAAAGAACAAGCAAAGGAUACUCAAAAUGCGAAAAACGAUUAAAGAGUAAAUCGAAUUCAGACUGAACUGAUUUAUAAUCGAGUAGGGUUAUUGUUUGGUUCAGUUGAGUCGUUUACUUCGAAUCUGAAUAGGCCCUUUUUGAAAAAUAUUUUAAAUUUAAAUUAUUUGUUGCAUUUCCCAAACUCACUAUGGCAAGCAGAUACGGAACGAGUUUCAAGUCUUUGAAACCAAAGCGACGCUGGUCUCUUCAAGGAGUCUUUAAUACGAAACCAGGCCUCGACUCAAAAAGUAUAUUAAUAGAUCGACAUUAUUCUAAAGAGAUCAUAAAAAGAGGCAAGGCAUUGGAAAACUUGUACUUCCGGAAACUGCAAUUUGCGCAAUUCGAAGGACUGAUAAAAGCUAACAUCGAAAAACAAAGAAAAAUCAAAAAGGACAUUGAAAAGAUGUAUAAAGAGUUAAAGAAUUCGAGGUAAAAAAUCAUAUAUUUGCGAGAACGAACAAUCCCUUAAGGAACUCGUGAUAAUUCCAUACAAAAACUCAGUAAGCGUGUCUAAAAAAAUGUCAAAUCUGCCUUUGGCCGAAAUAUCAUUCUAAAAAAAAUGAUUUAUUAAAAGGCCAUUUCAAAAUUUAUUUAUAUAUAUAGGCAUAAUGGUGUCUGCUUGUAAAUUUCUUAAAUCUGUAACCUUAUUAAAGCCAAUAUUAGAGGCUUUUCCACAAAUAUAUAUUAUUACAUUAUCUCGAAACUACAACAAAGGCCUCUACGAAAGAGCAAAGGCUGAAGAAAAUGUGCACUUUUUGAAAUUACAAAACGAGCAACUGAUGAAUCUACGCGAAAAAAUGCCGAAUAAGACACAAAUGUCAAAUAUCCAACAGGUUGAAGACAAUCUAAAUACAAAUGAAGCGGAAAAUAGCACAACUGGGCAAAUGGAAAUUGCGAGCAUCAUAACAACGAAGCAGUAGGCAGUUCAAGAUCUGUAAUCCUUUCUAUCCAUUCAGUGUAUUUGGAAAAUUUAGAAUUUCUAAAAUGUGGAGCUGUUGCAGGCACAGAUGUAUGGGAGCAAAUUUCCCGAGCCGGAAAAAUGAUAUUCCUCUACAACUGCGCUUGUUUUCAGACGAGCUAAAUUUUCGAAAUCUUGAACAGAAGCACCUAACGAUAUGGAGUAAACAAUUUGGAAACUUGGUUCGCAAGCGUGAAUUGCUCUCGCGUAUAAGUGAUUAUAUACAGCUACAGGAACAAUAUGUGGAUUCAAGAUUGCGCAGCAAUAAACAACUGCUGAACGAUGCCAUCAAUUUGAAGAAAGAGUCGAAAUGAGGAAUAUGCAAUCCAUUUUAAUAAAAAAAUAAAUUUGCAGUGAUUUUCAGUA